GAAACGCUGGCGGCGUGCUUAACACAUGCAAGUCGAACGGUGACGAGGAGCUUGCUCCUCUGAUCAGUGGCGAACGGGUGAGUAACACGUGGGCAACCUGCCCCUGACUUCGGGAUAACGCUUCGAAAGAGGUGCUAAUACCGGAUAUGAGUCCCUCCGGCAUCUGAGGGACUGGAAAGUUUUUCGGUCAGGGAUGGGCCCGCGGCCUAUCAGCUUGUUGGUGAGGUAACGGCUCACCAAGGCGACGACGGGUAGCCGGCCUGAGAGGGCGACCGGCCACACUGGGACUGAGACACGGCCCAGACUCCUACGGGAGGCAGCAGUGGGGAAUAUUGCGCAAUGGGCGAAAGCCUGACGCAGCAACGCCGCGUGAGGGAUGAAGGCCCUAUGGGUUGUAAACUGCUUUUAGCCGGGAAUAAACACCCGUUUUAUAACGGGCCCGAAGGUACCGGCUGAAUAAGCAUCGGCUAACUCCGUG
rnacentral:rRNA from 1 species